UUUGCUUUCAUUCUCCUCAUAUAAUAAGCCGCUCAAACCCUAACUCCCUCAAAACCUAACUCCCUCUUUCACCUGUCAAACUCUCAUUCUCUCUCUCUCUCACUUACGCGGCCCUCCCUCCCCUCUCUCUCCUCUUCCGACCCUAAAUCCCUAAAUCCCUAAAUCCCCUCUUCGGAUCUAACCACCAUGCGAACAAAGCCUCAACCGCCCACAAACCAUCAAGCAACUCCGCACGAUCCAUCGUUUUUGUCGCGUCAUUGAAACUAUUUGUCGCCGCCGAAAGUGUUCGUCGCGUUCAUCGAAGAACUCCGCUCAGCAUCGAAGAUCCGAUCUUGGUGGUUGCAGAUCAGAUGUGUUCAAGGAUUAUUUGAAGAGAUUGAAUCCAAAUAUUAGUUGAAUAGAUGUAUUUUUUUUUUUGAAUAAGUGAAUAGAAGUAAUUUUGAAAUACUGUCUUCCAUAUGAGAAGAGAUUGGUUUUGUUUCAUAUUGUAGUUGAUGUAAUCUUUUUAUUUAACAUUUUAGUUCAAGUAAUUUUGUUCUAGAUAUUACUGAGGGAUGUAAAAUAUGUUGCAUUUACCAUAAUAAUUAAUAAGAAGUACUUCCAUUUAUGUUUCAA